UACGAAGGGUGCAAGCGUUACUCGGAAUUAUUGGGCGUAAAGAGCUCGUAGGCGGUUUGUCGCGUCUGCUGUGAAAACCUAAGGCUCAACCUUGGGCUUGCAGUGGGUACGGGCAGACUAGAGUGCGGUAGGGGUGACUGGAAUUCCUGGUGUAGCGGUGGAAUGCGCAGAUAUCAGGAGGAACACCGAUGGCGAAGGCAGGUCACUGGGCCGCAACUGACGCUGAGGAGCGAAAGCAUGGGGAGCGAACAGG
rnacentral:rRNA from 1 species